GGCUAGUUUUGUGGGCAAAAGCGUAAAGGGUGUGAUAGGCCGUUUUAAUUAAAAAGGGUUUUAUAAUUUAAGAAGGUAAAUGGAAUUUUUUUGUAGCGGUGGAAUGUGUAAAUAGAAAAAAGAACUUUAGACGUGAAGACUAUUUAUUUUUGAGAUUAUAGUGUGAUGGCUAAAACACGAGAGUAUGGGGAGCAAACAGGAUUAGGGACCCUGGUAGUCUAUACUGUAAAUAAUGAAAAAGAUGUGAAGCAAUCCUAAAAAGUCAGAAAUUUUCCGCUUGAGUAGUACGACCGCAAGGUUAAAAUUCAAAAAACUUGGCUGUUCACUGUUUUAAUUAGAGGAGCGUGUCGUUUAAUUCGAUAGUCCGCGAGAGACCUUACCCAAACUUGAAUCCUUCAUUGACAGGUAUU
rnacentral:rRNA from 1 species